rnacentral:rRNA from 1 species
CCUACGGGAGGCAGCAGUGGGGAAUAUUGGGCAAUGGAGGAAACUCUGACCCAGCGACGCCGCGUGCGGGAUGAAGGCCUUCGGGUUGUAAACCGCUUUCAGUAGGGAAGAAGCGAAAGUGACGGUACCUACAAAAGAAGCACCGGCUAACUAUGUGCCAGCAGCCGCGGUAAUACAUAGGGUGCAAGCGUUGUCCGGAAUUAUUGGGCGUAAAGAGCUCGUAGGUCGUUUGUUACGUCGGAUGUGAAAACCUGAGGCUCAACCUCAGGCCUGCAUUCGAUACGGGCAAACUAGAGUUUGGUAGGGGAGACUGGAAUUCCUGGUGUAGCGGUGGAAUGCGCAGAUAUCAGGAGGAACACCAAUGGCGAAGGCAGGUCUCUGGGCCAAUACUGACACUGAGGAGCGAAAGUCUGGGGAGCGAACAGGAUUAGAUACCCUGGUAGUCCAGACCGUAAACGGUGGGCACUAGUUGUAGGAACCUUCCACGGUUUCUGCGACGCAGCUAACGCAUUAAGUGCCCCGCCUGGGGAGUACGAUCGCAAGAUUAAAACUCAAAUGAAUUGACGG